rnacentral:rRNA from 1 species
GCAGGCCUAACACAUGCAAGUCGAGCGGUAACAUUUCUAGCUUGCUAGAAGAUGACGAGCGGCGGACGGGUGAGUAAUGCUUGGGAACAUGCCUUGAGGUGGGGGACAACAGUUGGAAACGACUGCUAAUACCGCAUAAUGUCUACGGACCAAAGGGGGCUUCGGCUCUCGCCUUUAGAUUGGCCCAAGUGGGAUUAGCUAGUUGGUGAGGUAAUGGCUCACCAAGGCGACGAUCCCUAGCUGGUUUGAGAGGAUGAUCAGCCACACUGGGACUGAGACACGGCCCAGACUCCUACGGGAGGCAGCAGUGGGGAAUAUUGCACAAUGGGCGCAAGCCUGAUGCAGCCAUGCCGCGUGUGUGAAGAAGGCCUUCGGGUUGUAAAGCACUUUCAGUCAGGAGGAAAGGUUAGUAGUUAAUACCUGCUAGCUGUGACGUUACUGACAGAAGAAGCACCGGCUAACUCCGUGCCAGCAGCCGCGGUAAUACGGAGGGUGCGAGCGUUAAUCGGAAUUACUGGGCGUAAAGCGUACGCAGGCGGUUUGUUAAGCGAGAUGUGAAAGCCCCGGGCUCAACCUGGGAACUGCAUUUCGAACUGGCAAACUAGAGUGUGAUAGAGGGUGGUAGAAUUUCAGGUGUAGCGGUGAAAUGCGUAGAGAUCUGAAGGAAUACCGAUGGCGAAGGCAGCCACCUGGGUCAACACUGACGCUCAUGUACGAAAGCGUGGGGAGCAAACAGGAUUAGAUACCCUGAUAGUCCACGCCGUAAACGAUGUCUACUAGAAGCUCGGAACCUCG